GACGAACGCUGGCGGCGUGCUUAACACAUGCAAGUCGAACGAUGAACCCGGAGCUUGCUCCGGCGGAUUAGUGGCGAACGGGUGAGUAACACGUGAGUAACCUGCCCUUGACUCUGGGAUAACUGCUAGAAAUGGUAGCUAAUACCGGAUACGACCCUCGGUGGCAUCACCAGGGGGUGGAAAGAAUUUCGGUCAAGGAUGGACUCGCGGCCUAUCAGCUAGUUGGUGAGGUAACGGCUCACCAAGGCGACGACGGGUAGCCGGCCUGAGAGGAUGACCGGCCACACUGGGACUGAGACACGGCCCAGACUCCUACGGGAGGCAGCAGUGGGGAAUAUUGCACAAUGGGCGCAAGCCUGAUGCAGCAACGCCGCGUGAGGGAUGACGGCCUUCGGGUUGUAAACCUCUUUUAGUAGGGAAGAAGCGAAAGUGACGGUACCUGCAGAAAAAGCACCGGCUAACUACGUGCCAGCCGCCGCUAA
rnacentral:rRNA from 1 species